GCAUGAAGGGCUGCUAGGCUGGCACUUCAGUGUCUGGGUUAAAAAUAUUUUAAAGCAGUAAAUGCAGUCAGAACAGAGAGAGAGAUCCCUGGGAGCCUUCCUAUUCAAAAAUGUGCGAGCUCAGGGCAGCAACUGCAAUGUAAUUUAGGGCAGUAUAUGCUUCAUAGCUUUAGAGAAUAUUGCCUCUUGUUAAUGUUACAUUGGAGGACAGUGGGAUAGUAGUAAUUUUAGAGAGGUGGUAUUCUUGUUUGUUUUACAUUGGAAACUUCAGAAUAAAUAAAAAGAAGCAUCAAUUGAGGAAGAAAUGUAACUGCCGAAAACCAGCAAUGAAUCCACUUCUGAGCAGACCAUAGAAACGACAGGGGAAAGUGGGUAUAGGAACAUUUUCGUGGCAAUGCAGCUGCAAAAGGAACUUAGCAGACAAAGACGAAAUCAGGACAAGUAGAAGCUGAAGUGCGUCCAUCCCAGAACAACUGUGAAUUAAGUCUCUACAAUCAAUGACAAUUCUGGCAUUGGAAACUGGGGCAGAAGCUACUUUUUCCAAGUGAUCGAGUUACCACAGUGUAAAGAUUUUCCAAGGCAGUUGCAACAGCCUGAGAGCAUCCCCACAGGAAGUUACGGCUCAGUUGGCACAUGGUAAACCAUGAAGCUGUGGGGGAGAUGGUGCCGAGAUGCAUCAGGGCUCCCAGCCCAGCGCCCACCCUGUGGCCUCGCUGCCACCUGAAGAAGCUGUCUCUGGACCCCUGGUGCUGUGCUGCUCCUGGAAGAGGAGGCUGUGCCCCGGCUUGUGUUAACAAGAGAGGGGACAAGCGGUGUCUGCAACCUGUCUUCUUCCCGUGGGCACAGCAGGGACCAGCUCUCUGGAGAGGGAAAUGCUCACAUCAGUGCCCCGCUUGGCUGGGGUGCUCUGCUCAAAGGGAGGGCUCGUCCUCCUCUCUCCCUCUCAGAACUUGAAGGCUGCUCCAUUUACAUCAGCAGUAUCCAAGCCAUGACUCUUGGUGUGUGUGUUUUUUUUUAUUUUAUUUUGGGGUGACUGGGAAGGGGAUGGGAGGGUGGAUAGAGGUUGUUGCUUUUAGUCAUGUAUUUAUUUAUUUAUUUAUUUUUGCUAGGCCACUUGAGGAUUUAAGCGUUCACAGUCCUCUG
rnacentral:lncRNA from 1 species